UGACCUUAAAAUAGCUCUUAAAAAAUUAAAAACUGCUUUUAUUCUAGCCGAAAUAAAACAAAUAAGACUUUCUCCAGAAGAAAAAAUAUUAUCAGACAUACUGUGAAAAUUUCCUUGCUCUGUUAAACAUAAUUUGGGAAAUAUUUAAAAAAAAAAUCAAAGGGGGCUAAUAAUUCUGUGUGUAUAUAUAUCUGAGUAUUGAUGUGAAAAUUUAACACCUAAGAACCUCUUUACUGGUUGAAAGUGUGUAUCAUGAGAAGAAAGUCUUCUUUCUAUAGGAGAGGAUGUGGUGAGAACAUAUAAGAGCCAUAUGAACACGUCUGUGCCAGUGUUAGCCCUUCUGUCUUGAAAGUCUGCAGAUCUGCCAACAAGCAAAGUUUGAGCUGACAUCUCUGCAGCAGAAAAAAUGAACAGUUUGCAGUUGGUUUCCAUCUUCUACGGUCUUCUUACUUUAAGUGGCGGUGGGACUGCAGUGUUUGGUAUAUGGUCCUUUACACAGAAAGACUCCUCAUCCGACAUUUUCUCAAACGUGGACAGCACCACGAUCUUCACAGGUUUGGGGUCGCAGGCGCUCAUCGGUCUGGGCUGCGUCAUUGUCCUCGUAGGCGUCCUUGGUUU